CCUACGGGAGGCAGCAGUAAGGAAUAUUGGUCAAUGGACGAAAGUCUGAACCAGCCAUGCCGCGUGAAGGAUGAAGGCCCUCUGGGUUGUAAACUUCUUUUAUCUGGGACGAAAAAAGGGAAUUCUUUCCCACUUGACGGUACCAGAGGAAUAAGCACCGGCUAACUCCGUGCCAGCAGCCGCGGUAAUACGGAGGGUGCAAGCGUUAUCCGGAUUCACUGGGUUUAAAGGGUGCGUAGGUGGGUCUGUAAGUCAGUGGUGAAAUCUCCGAGCUUAACUCGGAAACUGCCAUUGAUACUAUAGGUCUUGAAUCAUCUGGAGGUAAGCGGAAUAUGUCAUGUAGCGGUGAAAUGCUUAGAUAUGACAUAGAACACCAAUUGCGAAGGCAGCUUACUACGGGUGCAUUGACACUGAGGCACGAAAGCGUGGGGAUCAAACAGGAUUAGAUACCCUGGUAGUCCACGCCCUAAACGAUGGAUACUCGACAUCAGCGAUACACUGUUGGUGUCUGNGCGAAGANAUAAUAUACCACCAGGAGACGACGCGAGUAGAAGUAAAGAAAGUAGAGCGNGAGAGAGCGAGACGACACGAGGGAGGAGG
rnacentral:rRNA from 1 species